GAACCUUACCUGGGCUCGAAAUGGAGUGGACCGGGGUGGAGACAUCCCUUCCCCGCAAGGGGCCGCUUUAUAGGUGCUGCAUGGCUGUCGUCAGCUCGUGUCGUGAGAUGUUGGGUUAAGUCCCGCAACGAGCGCAACCCUUAUCCCCAGUUGCCACCAUUUAGUUGGGCACUCUGGUGAAACCGCCUCGGAUAACGGGGAGGAAGGUGGGGAUGACGUCAAGUCCUCAUGGCCUUUAUGUCCAGGGCUACACACGUGCUACAAUGGCCGGUACAAACCGUCGCAAACCCGCGAGGGGGAGCUAAUCGGAAAAAGCCGGCCUCAGUUCGGAUUGGAGUCUGCAACUCGACUCCAUGAAGCUGGAAUCGCUAGUAAUCGCGGAUCAGAACGCCGCGGUGAAUACGUUCCCGGGCCUUGUCACACCGA
rnacentral:rRNA from 1 species